rnacentral:rRNA from 1 species
AUUGAACGCUGGCGGCAGGCCUAACACAUGCAAGUCGAACGAGUGGCGGACGGGUGAGUAAUGUCUGGGAAACUGCCUGAUGGCGGGGGAUAACUACUGGAAACGGUAGCUAAUCCCGCAUACCAUCAGAUGUGCCCAGAUGGGUUUAGCUAGUUGGUGGGGUAACGGCUCACCAAGGCGACGAUCCCUAGCUGGUCUGAGCGGAUGACCAGCCACACGGGAACUGAGACACGGUGCAGCUUCCUACGUGAGGCAGCAGUGGGGAAUGUUGCACAAUGGGUGCAAGCCUGAUGCAGCCAUAAGGCGUGUAUGGAGAAGGCAUUGGGGUUGUAAAGUACUUUCGGCGGGGAAACGUUACCCGCAGAAGAAGCACCGGCUAACGCCGUGCCAGCCGCCGCGGUAAUUC